rnacentral:misc_RNA from 1 species
CAGAGUUGCAAAACUCCCUAAACCAUUCGUGAACGUUACCUAACCAAGUUGCUUCGGCGGCGCCCGGGUUCUCCCGGGUCCCACCGGGGCCGCCAGCCGGCGGCCGCCGUAGUCACCAAACUCUUAUUAAUUAAUGGCCUCAUCUGAGUACUUCUUACUUAAUAAGUCA